AGUAGAUUCUCUUAGAAGGAACACACUCACUGCCUUCAGUUCAUGACAACAAAGGUGCUUUAAAACAAAUCAUAACUUUCUAACAAUCGAAGGUAAUCCUGAAUUCCUGAAGUGAGCAAAUGGACGUGAACGAGGCCCAAAAAGCAGAAUUCGGUUGCAGUUCUAAGGUCCCGAAACGGGAAACAGGUCCGGGUCUCUGCUGGUUUCAUUUAUCUUUCCGGGGAGAUGAACAUCACCUCCUGCCCCAUCACCUAUUACGGGCAGAAAUAUGACAGAGUCUACGGACGGCUGACAGAGGUGACCUGGCAGUUCUUACUCAAGACAUACCCACUGGAUCUGGGGUUCAUAAACUUCUGCCAAACCUUAGAAAUGCUGGGAAAUGUGUCAACAUAAUUCCUUUAAAAGACAGUCAACAAUCGGAAAUUGAACGAGUUGAACUCGGCAACUUUGGGACACAAGCAAUUCUGGCAAUCAAGACAUAUUCUGGGUACCAGAAUGUUGAUGUUGUAAGUAUAAGAAUAACAUU